CAUCUUGUGGGCAGGCGGCCAUUAGCCGCGGGCGCGCCGGUCACGUCCCCCUUCUCCUGAGGGGGCUCCCGGGCGGCCGGGCCGAUCGGUACGGCCGGCGCUGCGGAGCGCGCGGGCCCCGCCGGUCGGAGCGGCGGCGGCUGCCGGCCCCAGGGUGCCCUGAGGGGGCUCAUGUCGGGGGCGCUGGCGGCUGUUUCCAGCACAGCGCCCAACAGUGACCUGAGUGCACGAGUUGUGGGGGCGUGACGGCUCCGAGGCUUUCAGAAUUCCCUUGUUUCCCCUUUCUCUCCGAGCACUUGAUUUACGGAUGAAAGACUUCGCAACUCAGGGUUGUAAAGCAGAUUGUGGAGUCUGUUUUCCGCAAUUCAGUAGGGACGCAGCGAUGCGUUUGAAGUCCUCUACAUCUGCGCUGAGAUAUGGACCUAACUUGCAAAGCAAAUGUGGAAAAUGUCUGCAAGCAUGGGACUGAAAGAGAUGACACUUGGGGAGGGAAGUCUGUGAGACGGUCAGUUUGCUGCUGCUGCCACUGAUGGGGAGCCUCUUGAGGGUCGUGGUACCAUCUCAGAGCAACGACCCAAGGAGGCAGCUGACUUCUGUCAAAGUCCCUGUUCUCUGUUGACCAAAGGCAUUGCACCGGCUGGUGAGAUUUCUUCUUCCCCCUUCCUCUUCCCUUUCCCUGCUUCCCAGGGGAAUCGGAUGAUUAAGUGAUGGAGACUUAAGUAAUAGCAACGAUCAUCAGCAAGACUCAGAAAGAGAACUGCAGUGCAAAACAAACAAACUUUCAGCAGGAACCCAUUUUUAAUAUACUCUGCAGCACGUUUAAUAAUGUAAUUCUCCAGUGCAUCUGCAUGUUUCACUAUACUUGUGAAGGAGAAGAAACACUGGCUCAUGCAAAAUUGCUCUGAAGCAUUCAUUGAUACACCGAAAAUUCAGCAGGCCUACACCAAGUUAUGAUGUUGGGCUUUUUAUGGGUAAUUUGAUGCAAAGGAGAAACUUUUUUCUUUCAUGCGUGCAGAUUUUGUCGAAGGUGGUGACUCUUGGUUUUGUGAAGAUAAACUUCUUGCCUUUUCGAGCAUAGACGCGCCUCUGACCUUAUCUCCAGAAUAGCAAUAGAAUUUAUUAACACGAUGUGGGGCCCCAUGUGAACUGGAAUACCUUUGCUUCACUUGCUUCGGUUUUGUGUCUUUGCUCAUUUCUAAAGGGGGGAAAAUAACAAUUUUCUGAUAGUUUUGUCUGUUGCUUCCGGUCUUGUGAAACUAAUGGUAAAAUAUUCGAAGUGUUAAUCUUUAGGUGCAUUUUUUUUUUCUACAGUCUGCCAAAUUCUGUUAGCUAAAACACGGCCAAAAAGUCACACUAAGCAUGAGAAAAGACAAUGGAGUAACCUUUGCCAGCUGCUGUAUAGAACACCAACUUUUGUACAGCUUGGAGAAAAAAUGGAGUAUCAACUCCCUGGGAGAAGAAAAAAAGGAGCAUUUGAUGCUUUGAUGGUGAGAGAGGAGCUAUGAACAAUCUCUCAUUUCAGUUAAAAAUUGUUUAUACUCCUGAUUUACUCGCUGGAGAUACCACAGUAUCACUAACAACUCUUUGGUACCGUUUGUGACAACUGAUAAUUGAACUGCUUUAAAAUGGGAGUGACAGUUCAUCUCAGCCGUGACACAGAGCAGGCUGUGGUGUUCUCUGCAGCAAGGAGCCGCUGCAUGGGCAAGGGAGAACUGUUGAAGCUGCUUCUCCUCAACUUCCACUGGCAGACAGGGAUGUCGCCAGAAAUCAGCAAAACCAGGGCCGGGCCAGCAGCUGGGGCAAGUGCAGGCUCCAAGGGCACUUGGAGGCCCUUGUUAGUAACCUGAGAGUAAAAGAAUAAAGAAACCUCUGACAACUGCAGGAAAAGUCUUAGUCUCUCAUGACUGCAAGCAGUGCAGCUGGCGUCGCUAUUGCUGCCACCCGUCACGGUUUCUCCUCCUUCUCCUGGUGCUCUACUCACCUUUCCCCUCGUGUUUCCAUUGCUUGUGUCCCUCUCCCGUCUACAGUUAUCCCACCAUCUUUCUUUCCUGCUUUCUUAAAUGGUACUGUUUUCUUCUAUUAUUCUCAUAGUGUUCUGUCUCUUGUUGUUUUAGAGGGAUUCUGUUAUAUUUCCAGAGAGCUUCCUUCCUCUCCAGGUACUUAAUGCAGAUGCCACUUUUGGCUUGGACACAUCCUCUAGCUUUUCAUAUUGUCUCAGCAGAGCAGCCAUGGGACGAGCUGAAUGAUGCUGGUUUGAUGCUUGUGUCAGUCUCCGCAAGCUCUGCUUAAAACCACAUGAACUCCUUGCAAGCACAGAAAACCCGUGUGUAGGCCAUAAGUAGGUGUAACACAGGCGUUAUCUCCCUUUGUUUAAAAACAAGGUAUUGAUGACUUGCCUUAAAGAGUGACCUGUGUGAACCGACUCUACUUAGGUGAAGUUCACUUUGCACUAUUAAUGUUCCCAGUAUUUGUAAGGCUUUUUAAAUUGUAACUUUAUUAUAUAAAUGGUCUCACAGAAA